CAUACCUUAAAAAAAAAGACAGGGUCUACUUUAAAGGUUUAUAAACACUAGACACCCUCUCCUAGGAUGUCUUCCUUGAAUAUAGCUCAUUCCAUGUUCACACAGCAAACAUGUACUGUAAGAAACCACUCUCACACGUAUGUCAUUGUACCCUGCGGUAAUAGCAUCAGAUGGAGGGGCAUGGAACACAGAGGAAGCUCUGGGCUCUGGCUAGACCCACAGACUACAACCAGGAGAAGGGGUGAGAGACUGAAGAAGACAGAAGACCUCGCACUGCUUCUGUGGAGCCUCAUCUUGGUUACCACUCCCUGGCCUACAAUUGUGUGAUCAUAGUCACAUGUCCCAGGUGAUAUCCCAUCCCCAGGACCCAAGUGGACGCUGGCUACACAUGGCAGGUCUGAGAUUCCAGCCGUAGAAGACAGGGUCUCUGGGGUAGGUGGUAUUAAAUCCAGCUCUGGAUUUAACCAAUGGACCCUGCCUCAAUGAAUGAUGUAGAAAGCUUCCUGAUUAUCAAGCUCAGGCUUGAUAGGGGGAAGCUAUAUAUUGUGAUGCUUGUAAUCUUAGUCUUGGGGAGAUAGGAAGAUUUUUUUAGGGUUCAUUAGCUUAACCUGUGAGACUCGAGUCUCAGUAAGAGUCCCUAUCUUAGAAACAGGAGGAUGAUACUGAACUGCUUAUACUACAGGCUGACUUCUGGCCUCCACAGACAUGUGCAUACGCACGUGUGCACACAUGUAUAGGUGCCCCUGAAAAAACAUGAACAUACACACAUGCAUGGCCGCAGUGAAAGAGGGAGAAAGGACUUCCUCCUCAUCAGCGUUGUCAAGCACAGGCAACACUUGAAUCCUGAGCGCCAGGGAGGGCUACAACUGUUUUGUCCCAAGCUGUUUCUUCAUUAUUUCUCCACCUCCUUACAGGGGCACAGAUUACAGGCCAAGCUGUGGAUAAAGUGAACCCUGGCUUUACCAGAACGGGGACAAAGACAUGAAAGCUGUUAUUGUGCUAAUCCUAGCACCGUUCAACUGUGCCAAGCUUGCAAGGAGGGCACAUGAGGCCAGCACAGACUGAGGUAGAGAAGAAUUCUUCUUGCUAGAGCCUCCUUUUGUCUGGCCCGGGGGAUCCUGGCUCCACUGUAGCUGUUGGCAGGUUUCAGUUCUUGCCACCAACAAGGAGGGACAGGAAGAGAGGUCCUUGAUGACCGACCUAGCUGGGUGGAACCUUGGAGAGCUCCCAUCUUGUCUCCUCUGUAGAUGAGGGAAUCACGGGCUACACAGGCUUCAUUAGGGUAAGUCCUUGGAAUUGAACCCAGUUGUGGUAUGAUGGCCAGGUGGUAUGAUCGCCUUUUCCUCACUCCCUCCUCAUGUACUCUGUGGACUUCUGAGAAGUUCAAGAGGCUACAGCCAUGACAUGAGGAGAGGAGAGGAAGCAGCUGACCUUCAGAGGCUCUAGUGAUACAGCUCUCUGUACCUCAGGGUCUUAGUGAUAGAUCCUGACAGUACCAGAUCAGGUCACCAGCCUAGGACCUCCCCCUUCCCUGCCCAUCUUCUCCACAGGGACCCCUUGUCCCAUCCUCAGGAAGUUUCUGGGAACCCAUGACUAGUUUCUCUGUGGACACAGCUUCCCCUGACAAGACAUACAUCUGGUAGUGACUCACACACUGGAUUUCUGCCCAAGGCCGUACAUCUUGAGUGGGGAGAACAUUCUCUUGAACUGACAACCUGCCCACCCUGCGGUGACAAUGGAGGCUGCCUUUGUCAGCCAACACUGAUGUCAUUCAAAUGGCACUUGGACCUCCUUGCCUGGGUUGUCCUAAGAUUCCAGUGUCCCUCACAUACCAGAUUCUUCCUCAAAAUUUCUCUGUCCCAGAGGGCUAGCCCCUCUCUUGUCCCCCUCCCCCUCCCUAGGUCAUCAUUUCUGCUCCAACACCCUCCCUAGGCCUCUCCAGCCCUGGUUCAGCUGCUUGAUUUUGAAAUACCAUUCAUGAUUUGCACCUCAGUCCUGUUAUAGGCAGUGCAGCAGUCCUGUCCCCAAGGGUGGCAGACUCAGAGGAGGAGACCAUUUGUACUAAUCACAGCAAACACCACAGAUAGCAAUGCUGGAUGCCAAGUGUGCCCACCACCAGGUCCUCACACUUACAGGCUUGUAUCACUAUUAACUUCUGGGCAAAGUCAUCUCCCCAGUAAGAAUUUCCUAAAUCCUAACUUCCUCCCCUAGACCCUUGUCUUACUAUCCAUUUACUUUUCCUGCAUCAUGUAUCAUUUUCCCAUACUUGUUCGUUGCCUAAACAGUGGCUUGCUGCUUGUCUGUCAUUCGAGGAACAAUCGGUGCCUGAGAACGGAAGCUCUGGAAAGGAAGCAAUGGAAGAGCGAGGAGACAACUUACAUGCAGAACGGGAGAAAGUCUUUGCCAGCUCUAUAUCCAACAGGGCAUUAAUAUCUAAGGUCUGUCUAGGACUUUUCCAUCUCCAAAAAUUAAAAACUAAGAACACACCAAUCAUUCAGGCAAUAAGUGGGCUGUUGAACUGAAUGGGCAGUUCUCGAAAGAAGAAAUACGAAUAGCUAAUAAAUACUCGAGAAAACAAAAAUCA
rnacentral:sRNA from 1 species